GAACGCUGGCGGCAGCCUAACACAUGCAAGUCGAGCGGAAACGAAGAGGUGCUUGCACCUCUGGCGUCGAGCGGCGGACGGGUGAGUAAUGCUUGGGAAUAUGCCUUAUGGUGGGGGACAACAGUUGGAAACGACUGCUAAUACCGCAUGAUGUCUACGGACCAAAGUGGGGGACCUUCGGGCCUCACGCCAUAAGCUUAGCCCAAGUGGGAUUAGCUAGUUGGUGAGGUAAUGGCUCACCAAGGCGACGAUCCCUAGCUGGUUUGAGAGGAUGAUCAGCCACACUGGGACUGAGACACGGCCCAGACUCCUACGGGAGGCAGCAGUGGGGAAUAUUGCACAAUGGGCGCAAGCCUGAUGCAGCCAUGCCGCGUGUGUGAAGAAGGCCUUCGGGUUGUAAAGCACUUUCAGUAAGGAGGAAAGGUUAAGUGUUAAUAGCACUUAGCUGUGACGUUACUUACAGAAGAAGCACCGGCUAACUCCGUGCCAGCAGCCGCGGUAAUACGGAGGGUGCGAGCGUUAAUCGGAAUUACUGGGCGUAAAGCGUACGCAGGCGGUUUGUUAAGCGAGAUGUGAAAGCCC
rnacentral:rRNA from 1 species